AGUAGAGUCUUAGGGUGACCCCAGGGGGACGUAAUGUUUCCGAGAAGAAGGACAGAAAGAAGACUGGGAGACACCGGAACUCGAAAGAAAAUCGCAUACAGAAAGGCUGUACCUGGAGGAAGGAAGUGCGGAGCCAGCCUGAGUUGGGAGAAGAGCUCCAGAGAUGUGAAAACAGACUAAUACAUCGUCUCAAAAAAAGAGAAAAGAAGAAGAAGGAACUAAAGAAGAAUUUCUUUGGAAGCAAAAUAUUUGGAAGCAAAAUAUUUGGCUCCUGACUGAAAGGGUUUUGAUCCAUGCAUACAUUAAUAAACCCUUCAGAACCAUGA
rnacentral:lncRNA from 1 species